GCAUAAAGAGGGGUAUUGACUUGGGGCUUGUCUACACUGCGAAGUUGUCGACAAAACUUUUGGCUUUCCCGGGUACUUAAAAAAGCUCCCCCAUGAAAGACAAAAAAGUUUUGCCAACGCAAGUGGCAGUGUGAACGUGGCUUUGUCGGCAGGAGCACUCUCCUGCUGACAAAGCUAACA